UGCUGCUGGCCAGAGCUCUUUUCACAUUGUGCUACUGUCUGCACCUGUCACUAGCAGUGCAAUGUUAAAAGGGCAUUGGCCCCCCAGUA
rnacentral:pre_miRNA from 1 species